rnacentral:rRNA from 1 species
AUUGAACGCUGGCGGCAGGCCUAACACAUGCAAGUCGAACGAGUGGCGGACGGGUGAGUAAUGUCUGGGAAACUGCCUGGUGGCGGGGGAUAACUACUGGAAAAGGUAGCUAAUACCGCAUACCAUCGGAUGUGCCCAGAUGGGAUUAGCUAGUAGGUGGGGUAAAGGCUCACCUCGGCGACGAUCCCUAGCUGGUCUGAGAGGAUGACCAGCAACACUGGCACUGAGACCCGGUCCAGACUCCUACGGGAGGCAGCAGUGGGUAAUAUUGCACAAUGGGCUCAAGCCUGAUGCAGCCAUGCCGCUUGUAUGAAGAAGGCCUUCGGGUUGUAAAGUACUUUCAGCGGGGAGGCGUUACCCGCAGAAUAAGCACCGGCUAACUCCGUGCCAGCAGCCGCGGUAAUAC